UCUAAUCUAUUUAUUUUCUUCAUCUUCUUUAUCUUUCUUCAUCAACGGUCAUACAAAAAUUUUAAAAAAGUAUUCAGAAAAAGAAAACAAGGUGUAAAACCCAUACCCCUUCUUCUUCUUCUUCUUCUUCUUCUUCUCUACCGUGUUCCCAAGAACACUCUUUCUCCUUCAUCUUCCUCGCAAUCCAAUCAAACAAAUCAGAAUCCAUAAAAUCAAAAUAAAAAAUCCAAAAUCACAAAAUCCAUAAAAUUACAAAUCCAUAAAAAUCAAAACAAAUCAGAAGUUAAAAAACAACAUCUUGAUCCAAAAAUCCAAAACCCAGAUACGAAUAAAAUCGAUCGGAAGGCCACCGCCGAUGAGAGAGAGACGCCACCGGAAAGAGAAAGAGAGAGAAAUCUGAGUUUUCUUUUGAUGAUUUCAAAUGCUUUGAUGCUUCCACUGAAGUGAAAAGGAUGGGUCUCUGUCACAUUGUCAAAACAUAGAAAGAACUAAUAAAAUUAAAUGAUCCUAAUGUGACGAUUGUCACUAACAAAAGGAGCCUACUUAGAAAAGCUUCAUUGUCUCUAUGUGGGAAUUUGAUAGCAAGAGAACGAAAAG
rnacentral:lncRNA from 1 species